AACGAACGCUGGCGGCAUGCCUGACACAUGCAAGUCGAACGAGACCUUCGGGUCUAGUGGCGCACGGGUGCGUAACGCGUGGGAACCUGCCCUUAGGUUCGGAAUAACUCCCCGAAGGGGGUGCUAAUACAGGAUAAUGUCUUCGGACCAAAGAUUUAUCGCCUUUGGAUGGGCCCGCGUUGGAUUAGCUAGUUGGUAGGGUAAAAGCCUACCAAGGCGACGAUCCAUAGCUGGUCUGAGAGGAUGAUCAGCCACACUGGGACUGAGACACGGCCCAGACUCCUACGGGAGGCAGCAGUGGGGAAUAUUGGACAAUGGGCGAAAGCCUGAUCCAGCAAUGCCGCGUGAGUGAUGAAGGCCUUAGGGUUGUAAAGCUCUUUUACCCGGGAUGAUAAUGACAGUACCGGGAGAAUAAGCUCCGGCUAACUCCGUG
rnacentral:rRNA from 1 species